AGUGAACGCUGGCGGUAGGCCUAACACAUGCAAGUCGAACGGCAGCACAGUAAGAGCUUGCUCUUACGGGUGGCGAGUGGCGGACGGGUGAGGAAUACAUCGGAAUCUACUUUUUCGUGGGGGGUAACGUAGGGAAACUUACGCUAAUACCGCAUACGACCUACGGGUGAAAGCAGGGGAUCUUCGGACCUUGCGCGAUUGAAUGAGCCGAUGUCGGAUUAGCUAGUUGGCGGGGUAAAGGCCCACCAAGGCGACGAUCCGUAGCUGGUCUGAGAGGAUGAUCAGCCACACUGGAACUGAGACACGGUCCAGACUCCUACGGGAGGCAGCAGUGGGGAAUAUUGGACAAUGGGCGCAAGCCUGAUCCAGCCAUACCGCGUGGGUGAAGAAGGCAUUCGGGUUGUAAAGCCCUUUUGUUGGGAAAGAAAAGCAGCAGGUUAAUACCCCGCUGUUCUGACGGUACCAAAAGAAUAAGCACCGGCUAACUUCGUG
rnacentral:rRNA from 1 species